CGUGUCCGAACAAAUACCUUUUUUGUCCAAAAAAGUGAUUUUUCCAUCGUUUUAUCAAUCUUUGCUUCUCUUGAGUCAUUUUAGUCCCAAAUACACGUGAUCUUGUCCUAUUUGAAAGAUCUACAAUAUCUAAAGCUUCUUUUUUCAAAACAAAGUUAUACUCUUUUAAAAUCAAAGAUACAAAAUUUUUUUUAUUUUUUUGGGGGGAAUUUUAACCCUAAUCACUCUGGACCGUGUUUGAAUAAUUAUUAUUUUUAAUGAAUUUGACGAAUGAACCAAUGUCUUUUUUAUAAAUUUGACAAUCGAAAAACUACUUCAAAACAAAAUUUUUUGAAAACCAGUUUGAACAGUGAACCAGCUGGUCCUACUAGUUUCAACCAGUGCGAUCUUCCUAAAAUUGGACAAUGCAAACACAUCCCUUGACUCUAGAACACCUCGUCAUAUCUUGAAAAGAAUGACGUCAAUGUGUUCCUUGAAAAGUAAGUCCAGAUCUAUGAUUUUCAGAGAAAAUGGAAUCUAGAUGAUCUCUCAGUCACAAAUGUAAAAGGGGUUUCAAUUGGCUUCAUACCAUGACAAAGUGAGAAUUCUUCUGAGGACUAUGUGUAACCCUAAAAGGGCAUAUAUAUCAUUAAAUAAUGGGAUGAUGGACGCGUUUGAGCAUGUUACAAAACCAUUAGAGGACAAGCUGCCUAACCAAUAGAAACUCUUGUAUCAUAAUAGAGUACCUAAAUCUGUAAUUUACCAUUAGAUAGCGAAAGUUGAACUCCAAAACACUUUGAAGAUCCAUGCAAGUCUAAGUCAACAGGGCCCCAUUACUAUAAAUAAUGGGGCUUUUCAUUAAGGACCCUGAGAAAAUAAGUUUUUCUCUAGUGACAAAGUUAGAUUUACUUCUGGUGCUCCUUGGGUGGCACAUGCACCUAGACCAAUCCCCCAGCUUAGAUUAGCCAGAGUCAUGUUCACAAUUCGUUCUCAAAUACCAUAGUUCAAUGUCGAGAAUAAGACUCAUCACGGAAUAAGUUAAAUCUCAUGUUUUCAUAGCAACUUACAAUAAUUUCUAGCUUAACUAAUUAAGAUUUACGUGAACACUUACCAAUGCAUUUCAACAAAAAAGAAAAAGAAACUGCUCAGUAAACAUGCAAGAAAGCACUAAAGGGCAUAAGAAAAAAUGGCAUCGCAAAGGACGAUAAUCAUCAAAAGUUUUUGAAUUUUAUGGAUUUGACCUCCACAUUAGGACUUAGUAUAUUGCUUGUAAAUUGCUUUGGAUAUUUAAUGACAACCAACCUAUGAGAACAAUUAGAUGAAGGACACAAGCAUGUUAUAAAGGAAAAGUCAGUAAUCAUCAAACUAGUUAAUUACACAAAAACACCCACCCUCACUAGAUAUUACAAGGAAUGCUCUAGAGUAACAUCAUGACGUCUCCCUUGAUCAAUUGGUGAGUUAAUAAUAUGAAACGUAACAUUAUGUUGAUUAACAUCCUGUUCUAAAUCAGAUCAUCACCAAAGCAGAAAUUCAUCUUUUAUGAAUGCUACUGAGUCUAUUUAAUCAAAAUUGAUGUAUCAAGCAUCAAUUCAUCAAUGUUCAAAUUUUGGUUUUGGAGUUCUACUUCUCCUAAUGCUUUUGACAAACUUAUUUCUCAAGGAAAUGCAUUCAAGCUUUCCUAACCGCUCAUUUCGAUCCAAAACGUUAAAAGAGGUAAUCAAGGACAAAGCAGAUAUUACUCCUUUAGUCUCGAUGAAGGGUGUGCUAUUCUCUAAGCAAAAGCUCCAUCAUUAAUAACAAUUAUGACAGUACCAUGCAUUUUAGUCUCUUCAAUAUGACAUAGUACCAUGCAAUUGAAUUCUCUGAGAGACAAUUAUACGACAAUAUCCUUAAAACUAGUUUAGGAAAAGAAAGGGACAAUCAUAAAAUGAUAAGAAAAUUCCUUUAGAUUAUAAAUUGUAACGAAAUCUCAACCAGCAGAGCAUGACAGCUAUUAGCCUCCGUUAGUAUCAAGUUGGAUGUGAAGCACACAAUAAGCUGACUCUUUAAUUAAAGAAGGGCAUGAAGACUCAACCCCUGGCAACAAUUGAGUGAAUUUCUUUCAUGUUAACCUUGGUCAUCAUUUCUUUUUGAGCAAAUCUUUGCUCUGGAGUCACAAAGACUAGUACUGAUAAAAAAGACGACCAAGAAUUACUAUUCAAUGAGCUGCCCUGCGAGAAUUUGCCAUGACCAGUAAUUAAGAAAAUUGAGCUUCAAACACACAUAUAAGAAGGAAGCCAUAAAAUAUUCAGAGGGGGUUUUAAGAUGUAAACACUUGGGGAAUGGAAUCCUUGGCAACAAAAUGAGUCUUCAAAAACAUGCCAUCUAAAUGUCAAAAUUGUCCAAACUACUGGCGUAUGGUUGAAAAAUAAAAUGAAGUGAACUUGUCCCUUUUAAUACAUGCCAUUAUCUAACGACAUUAUGUAGCAAAUUCAUUAUGAAAAGAUGUAUUAUUAGAUCCCAAGCAAGAUCCUUAUUGAGGGUAUUCUAUUUUUCAUAUGAAAAUGGCACUAGCCAAAAACGAGAUGCAGCUUUGUGACUUCAAUGCCGACAUCAAAAUAUGUUAAAUAUAAUCAAGAAAUGUAAAUGCUAAAAACGCUUGAUACUCGGAGAAAAAGUACUGAAUUAGAGUAAAACAUUGCAACCAAUGUUCAUAAAAGUGGAGGCGACCUCCUAGGGUGAGAGGAGUGGGGCAUCAUUAUAUUUGAUGUGUGUAUCUAUUACCUAUUUAUCAAUGAUCAUCAUCCAAGCCUUAAAGUACUUUUUUUAGCACUGUUGCAUCUAGGCGCCACCUAAGAUCAUAGCUGCCUGGCCGCCUAUUUAGAAACGCUUAGGCGUGCCCUAGUCGGCCGAAUCUUUCAACAGUGAUUGCAUCAAAAGUGAAUCAACUAAUUAGGACCAAUAGUUACAAUUAUUAUUUUUGCCUGAUCAAUUGAAUCAAUUGACACCAUCAAGAUUAGAAAUACUCUUUAAAAUGAACAAGAGGGCAAUAGAAGCUCCAUAACAAUCACAAGUGUCAGCAUGGAUUCCUUUUUUUUUUCCUUGCCUGAUCAAUUGACACCAUCGAGAAUAAAAAUGUUCUUUAAAAUGAACAAAAGACCAUUAUAAGCUCCCUAACAAUCACAAGAAAGCAGAAGCACAUAAGACAUGAAUGACUAGCCGUAUGAAGAUGACAGUAGACUAGAUAGAGAUUUCGCAAAGGGAAUCUUGUAUUAAAAAAUGUGUCAGUUACUAAUGGCCAAAUCAACUAUGCGGAAUAGAAGAAAUUAAAAGAAUACUGCCACUUUAAUAAUAUAAUCAUUCCUACAAUAAGCCCAAUUUCCCUUUCAAGUGAUUGAAAUAUCUAAUAAAAUAGUACCAGAAUUAGACACUACUCAAUCUUAGGUUUCAAGCAACAAAAUAAACAUGUGGAAAAGGGAGAGGUUGAAGAACUAAGCCAGUAAGUUAUGUCUGAGGAUCCAGAUAUCAAUAACAAGUGCCUAGUCGGCGAACUGCUAAAACUUGAUCCUUAAUGAGGGAGAACUACCUAAACAGAGUGGUAGUUUACAUUCGGAACCACAAUUACCACCCUAAUGGGAUGUGCUUAUUAAAUUCUAAUCUUAAUGAAAUGUGAUUGUUAACAAUGGGAAAACAACCUAAAAAGAGUAAUGCUUACAAUUGAAGCAACAAUUACCAACCAAACGGGAGCAGUCUCAUAUAACUUAAACUGAUUGAUGUUAAAAUAAUAAUUUG
rnacentral:lncRNA from 1 species